rnacentral:snRNA from 1 species
GUGCUUACUUUGGCAGCACAUAUUCUAAAAUUGGAACAAUACAGAAAAGACUAGCAUG